CAGCAGUAGCCACGGUAAUACGUAGGGUGCAAGCGUUAAUCGGAAUUACUGGGCGUAAAGCGUGCGCAGGCGGUUUUGUAAGACAGGCGUGAAAUCCCCGGGCUCAACCUGGGAAUGGCGCUUGUGACUGCGAAGCUAGAGUGCGGCAGAGGGGGAUGGAAUUCCGCGUGUAGCAGUGAAAUGCGUAGAUAUGCGGAGGAACACCGAUGGCGAAGGCAAUCCCCUGGGCCUGCACUGACGCUCAUGCACGAAAGCGUGGGGAGCAAACAGGAUUAGAUACCCCGGUAGUCCCUGUCUCUUAUAC
rnacentral:rRNA from 1 species